GACGAACGCUGGCGGCGUGCUUAACACAUGCAAGUCGAACGGAAAGGCCCUACUUGCAGGGUACUCGAGUGGCGAACGGGUGAGUAACACGUGGGUGAUCUGCCCUGCACUUCGGGAUAAGCCUGGGAAACUGGGUCUAAUACCGGAUAGGAGCCAUUUUUAGUGUGAUGGUUGGAAAGUUUUUUCGGUGUAGGAUGAGCUCGCGGCCUAUCAGCUUGUUGGUGGGGUAAUGGCCUACCAAGGCGGCGACGGGUAGCCGGCCUGAGAGGGUGGACGGCCACAUUGGGACUGAGAUACGGCCCAGACUCCUACGGGAGGCAGCAGUGGGGAAUAUUGCACAAUGGGCGGAAGCCUGAUGCAGCGACGCCGCGGGGGGGAUGACGGCCUUCGGGUUGGAAACUCCUUUCGCUAGGGACGAAGCUUUUUGUGACGGUACCUAGAUAAGAAGCACCGGCUAACUACGUG
rnacentral:rRNA from 1 species